AUUGAACGCUGGCGGCAGGCCUAACACAUGCAAGUCGAACGGUAACAGGAAGGAGCUUGCUUCUUUGCUGACGAGUGGCGGACGGGUGAGUAAUGUCUGGGAAACUGCCUGAUGGAGGGGGAUAACUACUGGAAACGGUAGCUAAUACCGCAUAACGUCGCAAGACCAAAAAGGGGGACCUUCGGGCCUCUUGCCAUCGGAUGUGCCCAGAUGGGAUUAGCUAGUAGGUGGGGUAACGGCUCACCUAGGCGACGAUCCCUAGCUGGUCUGAGAGGAUGACCAGCCACACUGGAACUGAGACACGGUCCAGACUCCUACGGGAGGCAGCAGUGGGGAAUAUUGCACAAUGGGCGCAAGCCUGAUGCAGCCAUGCCGCGUGUAUGAAGAAGGCCUUCGGGUUGUAAAGUACUUUCAGCGGGGAGGAAGGGAGUAAAGUUAAUACCUUUGCUCAUUGACGUUACCCGCAGAAGAAGCACCGGCUAACUCCGUG
rnacentral:rRNA from 1 species